CCUACGGGAGGCAGCAGUAGGGAAUUUUCGGCAAUGGGGGGAACCCUGACCGAGCAACGCCGCGUGAACGAAGAAGUUAUUCGUAAUGUAAAGUUCUUUUAACAGGGAAGAAAGAGAAAUUUGACGGUAACUGAUGAAUAAGCUCCGGCUAACUACGUGCCAGCAGCCGCGGUAAUACGUAGGUAGCGAGCGUUAUCUGGAAUUAUUGGGCGUAAAGGGUGCGUAGAGGGCAUAGUAAGUCUUUUGUAAAAAUGCUGGGCUCAACCCAGUAGGGCAAAAGAUACUGCAAAGCUAGAGUAUGACAGAGGCAAGUGGAACUACAUGUGUAGCGGUGAAAUGCGUAGAUAUAUGUAAGAACACCAGUGGCGAAGGCGGCUUGCUGGGUCGAUACUGACGUUGAGGCACGAAAGCGUGGGGAGCAAACAGGAUUAGAUACCCGGGUAGUC
rnacentral:rRNA from 1 species